rnacentral:lncRNA from 1 species
CUGAUCUCCAAGGAUGAAGGCAACUCUAUAGAUCACUGGGGACUCAUCCUGCAGAUAUCAUUCAAGGUAUCCGGUUCAGAAUCUAUCACCAGCUCAGACUGUAGCCUCUGAAGAGAUCUCAGAUGUUUUGUGCCUUAUACAUUUAAUUCUGAGAUCAUAGAGCCCAAGGAGGUUUUGAGGACCCUCUACCCACACCUUCAGAUGUUUUCAGAGGAUUUGCUGGCAGGGCUGGGCCACUGGGCCUUGCUGGGCUCUAAUUUUCCUACCCACGUGUGUCCUAUAGACCGUGAAUUUUCUUCUAAACACUCUUGACUUUUCACUUGUUAAAUUAAAGCAUUUUCUUAAAGAAAAGAUUAAAACCAAGA